UGGGGAAUAUUGGACAAUGGGCGCAAGCCUGAUCCAGCAAUGCCGCGUGUGUGAAGAAGGCCUUCGGGUUGUAAAGCACUUUUAUCAGGAGCGAAACGCUGUCGGCUAAUACCCGGCGGAACUGACGGUACCUGAGGAAUAAGCACCGGCUAACUUCGUGCCAGCAGCCGCGGUAAUACGAAGGGUGCAAGCGUUAAUCGGAAUUACUGGGCGUAAAGCGUGCGUAGGCGGUUUCUUAAGUCUGCUGUGAAAUCCCCGGGCUCAACCUGGGAAUGGCAGUGGAUACUGGGAGGCUAGAGUGUGUCAGAGGGUGGUGGAAUUCCCGGUGUAGCGGUGAAAUGCGUAGAGAUCGGGAGGAACAUCAGUGGCGAAGGCGGCCACCUGGGACAACACUGACGCUGAGGAGCGAAAGCAUGGGGAGCGAACAGGAUUAGAUACCCUGGUAGUCCAUGCCGUAAACGUUGGGCACUAGGUGUGGGGGUCCAUUCCACGGAUUGCCGCGCCGCAGCAAACGCAUUAAGUGCCCCGCCUGGGGAGUACGGCCGCAAGGCUAAAACUCAAAUGAAUUGACGGGGUCAUAGCUGUUUG
rnacentral:rRNA from 1 species